CCUACGGGUGGCAGCAGUGGGGAAUAUUGGACAAUGGGCGAAAGCCUGAUCCAGCCAUGCCGCGUGUGUGAAGAAGGCCUUCGGGUUGUAAAGCACUUUCAGUGGGGAAGAAAGCCUUGGGGCUAAUACCCUCGAGGAAGGACAUCACCCACAGAAGAAGCACCGGCUAACUCCGUGCCAGCAGCCGCGGUAAUACGGAGGGUGCGAGCGUUAAUCGGAAUUACUGGGCGUAAAGUGCGCGUAGGCGGUCUGAUAAGCCGGUUGUGAAAGCCCCGGGCUCAACCUGGGAACGGCAUCCGGAACUGUCAGGCUAGAGUGCAGGAGAGGAAGGUAGAAUUCCCGGUGUAGCGGUGAAAUGCGUAGAGAUCGGGAGGAAUACCAGUGGCGAAGGCGGCCUUCUGGACUGACACUGACGCUGAGGUGCGAAAGCGUGGGUAGCAAACAGGAUUAGAUACCCGGGUAGUC
rnacentral:rRNA from 1 species